rnacentral:rRNA from 1 species
GAUGAACGCUGGCGGCGUGCCUAAUACAUGCAAGUCGAGCGAACGGACGAGAAGCUUGCUUCUCUGAUGUUAGCGGCGGACGGGUUAGUAACACGUGGAUAACCUACCUAUAAGACUGGGAUAACUUCGGGAAACCGGAGCUAAUACCGGAUAAUAUUUUGAACCGCAUGGUUCAAAAGUGAAAGACGGUCUUGCUGUCCCUUAUAGAUGGAUCCGCGCUGCAUUAGCUAGUUGGUAAGGUAACGGCUUACCAAGGCAACGAUGCAUAGCCGACCUGAGAGGGUGAUCGGCCACACUGGAACUGAGACACGGUCCAGACUCCUACGGGAGGCAGCAGUAGGGAAUCUUCCGCAAUGGGCGAAAGCCUGACGGAGCAACGCCGCGUGAGUGAUGAAGGUCUUCGGAUCGUAAAACUCUGUUAUUAGGGAAGAACAUAUGUGUAAGUAACUGUGCACAUCUUGACGGUACCUAAUCAGAAAGCCACGGCUAACUACGUG